AAGGUUCCGUAGGUGAACCUGCGGAAGGAUCAUUAUUGAAUAAGCUUGGUUAGGUUGUUGCUGGCUCUUCGGGGCAUGUGCACGCCUAACACCAAUCUUCUUACCACCUGUGCACCUUUUGUAGACCUGGAUAACUCUCGAGGAAACUCGGUAUGAGGACUGCUGUGCGUCAAAGCCAGCUUUCCUUACAUUUCCGGUCUAUGUCUUUAUAUACACCAUUUGUAUGACUAUGAAUGUUAUAUCGGACUUGACUGUCCAAAUAAACCUAAUACAACUUUCAACAACGGAUCUCUUGGCUCUCGCAUCGAUGAAGAACGCAGCGAAAUGCGAUAAGUAAUGUGAAUUGCAGAAUUCAGUGAAUCAUCGAAUCUUUGAACGCACCUUGCGCUCCUUGGUAUUCCGAGGAGCAUGCCUGUUUGAGUGUCAUGAAAUUCUCAACCUUUUCGGCUUUUUCUAAGUUGAUCAGGCUUGGAUGUGGGAGUUUGCGGGCUUCUCUGAAGUCGGCUCUCCUUAAAUUCAUUAGUAGGGACCUCUGUUGCCUUAGCUUUUGGUGUGAUAAUUAUCUACGCCAUCAUGUGAAGCAGCUUUAAAUUGGAGGUUACUGCUUUCUAACCGUCUCCCAUGGGACAUUUUCUGACAAUUUGACCUCAAAUCAGGUAGGACUACCCGCU
rnacentral:rRNA from 1 species